rnacentral:lncRNA from 1 species
GAGUUCCUGAAAGCGAUAAAAUGAUAAUUAUGCAAAACCACAAACCUCGAUACAAUGAGAAACGUAACAUUGUGUGACAAAGUACAUCUAUGUACGAGUAAGUGAUUUUAUGAACCAGUGAAGAAACGUUUCAAUUUACGUCAAUAGAAUCUUUACAGCCACUCGUCACUGGCCGUUUCAACUGCUGCGAUCACUUAUAAGGCAAUUAUAAUUACCACACAGUUUGUGAGAUGCUUCGCGGUAUUUGAGUACCAGCCAGCUAUACGUGCUCAGAGGUUUUGUAUCUGAAAAAACAUUAAGGCGAUUAGAUAAUCACCCCCUGUUUCGGAGUAUAAACCUGGUGAUAAAAUAACACAGAAAUGAUAACCCACAUGGCACCCUGUUCAACUUGUAAGUGAACGCAAAAAUGGCCCCGGUAUCUAUGCUCAUGUCGAUGCUCCACAUCCCAUCCAGCAGCGCUGUCGCCAUGUCGACAAAAUUCGGAGGAACUUCUUCGAAGUACUUGCCGAAUACCUCGGCUUGCAAUCUUCUACACAAUGCCGUAGUUUCAGCUUCGUUCUUCCGACAAAUGUUCAAUCUGCAGCACGAGUCAUACAUUUUUUCAGGGGACGUACUAGCGUAGGAAAAAUCCUUGGUGAAAAUAAAAAAUGUCACGAUCAACCCUUUACCGACGUCAAGUGGAAUGCCCCAUAUUUAUCGGUGCGUGCAUUCUUUCCACGCAAUUGAAUUGAUUUCUCAGUUACACGUAUAGGAAUGACAGUUUACCGAUCUGAAAUGCCAAGCAUAUGUCCAACGACUCUCAACACGUGGUUGAUCCCCUCUCGCUGAUCCUUGGUGUUUGUCAGACCCAAAGAUUCCGGUUCGAGCAGAACGUAGCCGAUCAGACCAUACUGAGUGAGCGCCAUGUCCCGAUGAGUGAUUCCCCCGAUUCCAUCCCGGAGGGCUCGUCGAUUUGCGAGGCAAUGCUUCCAGCGAACUGUAUUCGUUGACUUGAACCAGCUGGGCCAGAUUCGGAUAACCCGAGGUCAGACAUGAUUGAGCUUACGGUUAUUCUGCUACUUGUAGCAACCGAUACUUAACGCAAGGUAACGAAGUCCAGCUCCGUUCACUUACUCCGAAUUAAUAACGUUCAAAUCCGCCAUGUACCACGCUCGAGUAUGCAAACUUGUUUCGAGAUAUCUUUUGAACGCUGCGCAUGCCGUUCCACUCUUCUUGGUAUAGAUGAGAACCUGCAACGAAGCGCAAUCGGACGAUUUCAAGAAUACAGCCGAAGAGUAACGACGAUACUGAAAGGGGCGGUAUCGGCACGAACGCAUUUCAUCUUUCUUCUCAAGUUACAAGUUACAUCGCAGAAUGCUUCAUAAAUACUAUAAUACCGACCUUCAAGAUCGAAGGAACAGCCAGCACAGCUACAAGACCACAUAUGAUCGCAGUGGUUAAUCCAAGGCUGUUGGAACGGUAGUAAUCUUGCCCUCUGCGAUGUCAAACGGAAUUUAGAUCAUCGAACCAAAUUCCCAAAUCAUCACUAACCCAACAUUGAAACUCGAGCUUAACACUUACGCUUUGUACAAUUUUGCAUCAUACCACCCGGGAAGAUCCGCUGGAGUAACUUGCUCAGACUCAUCGUAGUCGAUGGUGUCUUCGUCGGCUACAAGUAUCCUGAAAUGCUGAUCCACGGUCGCAGGUUGGACUGUGAAAUGCAUCCCACGGUCACAAGCGUAAUGAGAAUUACUUACCGAUCCGAAAUGCCGAGCAUGUGCCCGAGGACUCGCCAAAAGUGAUUGAUUCCUUCUCGUUCCUCCGGAGUGUUGGUCAGGCCCAGAUAUUCUGGCUCGAUCAGAACGUAACCCAAGAACCCGAACUGAGUGUACGCCAUGUCACGUUGCAUGAUUCCUCCAAAUCCAUCUCGAAAAGAUCGUCGACUUGAGAUCAUGUGCUUCCAUCGAACCACGUUAAGUGACCGGAACCAGCUACAACCGAUCGCAAAACUCGAAGAUUUUCAUCUGAUCGCGAAGUGUUGAAUAUUCUCACCGAGACUCACUUUUGACCGGGAUUAUCCGUCCAAUAAUUAACUUAAUACGUGCAUGUAAUGAAUUAACAUAUUCUCGGAUGUUGGAGAAGCUUUUUCCGUUUUCCUAAAUCUCGCGGCUCAGCCUCGCAAUUUAUCUGACAAUGAAUCC